GAUGAAGAACGUAGCGAAAUGCGAUAAGUAGUGUGAAUUGCAGAAUUACGUGAAUCAUCGAAUCUUUGAACGCAAAUUGCACUCUCUGGUAUUCCGGGGAGUAUGCCUGUUUGAGGGUCGCUUAAUAAACAUCGAUUUUCAUCGCUUUUUUUAAAGUGAUGUUUAUCGGAUUUGAGCCGUCUUUUUUAUAUAUAUAUUUAUUUAAGGAAGUGGCUUAAAAUUGAUUUUUCUGGUAUGAUCGGAAGCGUAUUUUAUGAUCAAUUUUUGGUUAAGGAAACGCAGACGUACCAAUCAUUCAUAUGAUGUAAUACGUUUGACUAUUGGAUUUAGUUCAUUCGUAUACGAUAUUUUUCAAAUUUUGACCUCAAAUCAGGUAAGAACACCCGCUGAACUUAAGCAUAUCAAUAAGCGGAGGA
rnacentral:misc_RNA from 1 species